GACGUAGGGCGCAAGCGUUGUCCGGAUUUAUUGGGCGUAAAGAGCUCGUAGGCGGCUUGUCGCGUCGACUGUGAAAAACCACGACUCAACCGUGGGACUGCAGUCGAUACGGGCAGGCUAGAGUUCGGUAGGGGGAGACUGGAAUUCCUGGUGUAGCGGUGAAAUGCGCAGAUAUCAGGAGGAACACCGGUGGCGAAGGCGGGUCUCUGGGCCGAUACUGACGUGAGGAGCGAAAGCGUGGGGAGCGAACAGG
rnacentral:rRNA from 1 species